AUUGAACGCUGGCGGCAGGCCUAACACAUGCAAGUCGAGCGGAUGAAGGGAGCUUGCUCCUGGAUUCAGCGGCGGACGGGUGAGUAAUGCCUAGGAAUCUGCCUGGUAGUGGGGGAUAACGUCCGGAAACGGGCGCUAAUACCGCAUACGUCCUGAGGGAGAAGGUGGGGGAUCUUCGGACCUCACGCUAUCAGAUGAGCCUAGGUCGGAUUAGCUAGUUGGUGGGGUAAAGGCCUACCAAGGCGACGAUCCGUAACUGGUCUGAGAGGAUGAUCAGUCACACUGGAACUGAGACACGGUCCAGACUCCUACGGGAGGCAGCAGUGGGGAAUAUUGGACAAUGGGCGAAAGCCUGAUCCAGCCAUGCCGCGUGUGUGAAGAAGGUCUUCGGAUUGUAAGCACUUUAAGUUGGGAGGAAGGGCAGUAAGUUAAUACCUUGCUGUUUUGACGUUACCAACAGAAUAAGCACCGGCUAACUUCGUG
rnacentral:rRNA from 1 species